AUAUAUCAGCCUGGUAAUGGCAGAUGAUGAGCCAUUAAUGAUGUUGAUGUGAUCAUAAUCGAACUGUUCUGAUACGUUUCGGGAAAAAAGGACCCUAUACAUUGCAUAAAACACUCAAGUUUCUGCGAUCGCAUGUAGAAGAGCUAUUGGCACCAUUGGCUACUAGUACUAUUGGAUACUUGGCAAAUUCAACACUUAAAAAGACGAGAAAACUUCAUGGAACCCCAUUUUCUAUUGAAUAACCUGUACCACAAAAUGUGCCAAAAGUGUUUGGGCAUAAACAGAACGAACACAUCAGCUUCUCUGACUUGAUGAAAUGUGAAAUCAGUGUUAAGUAAUGAUUCGUUCAUUUAUUUAUUUUAAAUAAAUUUAAAUUAUUUACUUAUUGAACCAAUUAAAGGACAG